GGGUUGUGAGGUUAAGCGACUAAGCGUACACGGUGGAUGCCCUGGCAGUCAGAGGCGAUGAAGGACGUGCUAAUCUGCGAUAAGCGUCGGUAAGGUGAUAUGAACCGUUAUAACCGGCGAUUUCCGAAUGGGGAAACCCAGUGUGAUUCGUCACACUAUCAUUAACUGAAUCCAUAGGUUAAUGAGGCGAACCGGGGGAACUGAAACAUCUAAGUACCCCGAGGAAAAGAAAUCAACCGAGAUUCCCCCAGUAGCGGCGAGCGAACGGGGAGCAGCCCAGAGCCUGAAUCAGUGUGUGUGUUAGUGGAAGCGUCUGGAAAGGCGCGCGAUACAGGGUGACAGCCCCGUACACAAAAAUGCACAUGCUGUGAGCUCGAUGAGUAGGGCGGGACACGUGGUAUCCUGUCUGAAUAUGGGGGGACCAUCCUCCAAGGCUAAAUACUCCUGACUGACCGAUAGUGAACCAGUACCGUGAGGGAAAGGCGAAAAGAACCCCGGCGAGGGGAGUGAAAAAGAACCUGAAACCGUGUACGUACAAGCAGUGGGAGCACGCUUAGGCGUGUGACUGCGUACCUUUUGUAUAAUGGGUCAGCGACUUAUAUUCUGUAGCAAGGUUAACCGAAUAGGGGAGCCGAAGGGAAACCGAGUCUUAACUGGGCGUUAAGUUGCAGGGUAUAGACCCGAAACCCGGUGAUCUAGCCAUGGGCAGGUUGAAGGUUGGGUAACACUAACUGGAGGACCGAACCGACUAAUGUUGAAAAAUUAGCGGAUGACUUGUGGCUGGGGGUGAAAGGCCAAUCAAACCGGGAGAUAGCUGGUUCUCCCCGAAAGCUAUUUAGGUAGCGCCUCGUGAAUUCAUCUCCGGGGGUAGAGCACUGUUUCGGCAAGGGGGUCAUCCCGACUUACCAACCCGAUGCAAACUGCGAAUACCGGAGAAUGUUAUCACGGGAGACACACGGCGGGUGCUAACGUCCGUCGUGAAGAGGGAAACAACCCAGACCGCCAGCUAAGGUCCCAAAGUCAUGGUUAAGUGGGAAACGAUGUGGGAAGGCCCAGACAGCCAGGAUGUUGGCUUAGAAGCAGCCAUCAUUUAAAGAAAGCGUAAUAGCUCACUGGUCGAGUCGGCCUGCGCGGAAGAUGUAACGGGGCUAAACCAUGCACCGAAGCUGCGGCAGCGACACUAUGUGUUGUUGGGUAGGGGAGCGUUCUGUAAGCCUGUGAAGGUGUACUGUGAGGUAUGCUGGAGGUAUCAGAAGUGCGAAUGCUGACAUAAGUAACGAUAAAGCGGGUGAAAAGCCCGCUCGCCGGAAGACCAAGGGUUCCUGUCCAACGUUAAUCGGGGCAGGGUGAGUCGACCCCUAAGGCGAGGCCGAAAGGCGUAGUCGAUGGGAAACAGGUUAAUAUUCCUGUACUUGGUGUUACUGCGAAGGGGGGACGGAGAAGGCUAUGUUGGCCGGGCGACGGUUGUCCCGGUUUAAGCGUGUAGGCUGGUUUUCCAGGCAAAUCCGGAAAAUCAAGGCUGAGGCGUGAUGACGAGGCACUACGGUGCUGAAGCAACAAAUGCCCUGCUUCCAGGAAAAGCCUCUAAGCAUCAGGUAACAUCAAAUCGUACCCCAAACCGACACAGGUGGUCAGGUAGAGAAUACCAAGGCGCUUGAGAGAACUCGGGUGAAGGAACUAGGCAAAAUGGUGCCGUAACUUCGGGAGAAGGCACGCUGAUAUGUAGGUGAAGUCCCUCGCGGAUGGAGCUGAAAUCAGUCGAAGAUACCAGCUGGCUGCAACUGUUUAUUAAAAACACAGCACUGUGCAAACACGAAAGUGGACGUAUACGGUGUGACGCCUGCCCGGUGCCGGAAGGUUAAUUGAUGGGGUCAGCGCAAGCGAAGCUCUUGAUCGAAGCCCCGGUAAACGGCGGCCGUAACUAUAACGGUCCUAAGGUAGCGAAAUUCCUUGUCGGGUAAGUUCCGACCUGCACGAAUGGCGUAAUGAUGGCCAGGCUGUCUCCACCCGAGACUCAGUGAAAUUGAACUCGCUGUGAAGAUGCAGUGUACCCGCGGCAAGACGGAAAGACCCCGUGAACCUUUACUAUAGCUUGACACUGAACAUUGAGCCUUGAUGUGUAGGAUAGGUGGGAGGCUUUGAAGUGUGGACGCCAGUCUGCAUGGAGCCGACCUUGAAAUACCACCCUUUAAUGUUUGAUGUUCUAACGUUGACCCGUGAUCCGGGUUGCGGACAGUGUCUGGUGGGUAGUUUGACUGGGGCGGUCUCCUCCUAAAGAGUAACGGAGGAGCACGAAGGUUGGCUAAUCCUGGUCGGACAUCAGGAGGUUAGUGCAAUGGCAUAAGCCAGCUUGACUGCGAGCGUGACGGCGCGAGCAGGUGCGAAAGCAGGUCAUAGUGAUCCGGUGGUUCUGAAUGGAAGGGCCAUCGCUCAACGGAUAAAAGGUACUCCGGGGAUAACAGGCUGAUACCGCCCAAGAGUUCAUAUCGACGGCGGUGUUUGGCACCUCGAUGUCGGCUCAUCACAUCCUGGGGCUGAAGUAGGUCCCAAGGGUAUGGCUGUUCGCCAUUUAAAGUGGUACGCGAGCUGGGUUUAGAACGUCGUGAGACAGUUCGGUCCCUAUCUGCCGUGGGCGCUGGAGAACUGAGGGGGGCUGCUCCUAGUACGAGAGGACCGGAGUGGACGCAUCACUGGUGUUCGGGUUGUCAUGCCAAUGGCACUGCCCGGUAGCUAAAUGCGGAAGAGAUAAGUGCUGAAAGCAUCUAAGCACGAAACUUGCCCCGAGAUGAGUUCUCCCUGACUCCUUGAGAGUCCUGAAGGAACGUUGAAGACGACGACGUUGAUAGGCCGGGUGUGUAAGCGCAGCGAUGCGUUGAGCUAACCGGUACUAAUGAACCGUGAGGCUUAACCUUACAACGCCGAAGCUGUU
rnacentral:rRNA from 3 species